rnacentral:rRNA from 1 species
GAUGAACGCUGGCGGCGUGCCUAAUACAUGCAAGUCGAGCGAACAGACGAGGAGCUUGCUCCUCGGACGUUAGCGGCGGACGGGUGAGUAACACGUGGAUAACCUACCUAUAAGACUGGGAUAACUUCGGAAAACCGGAGCUAAUACCGGAUAAUAUAUUGAACCGCAUGGUUCAAUAGUGAAAGACGGUUUUGCUGUCACUUAUAGAUGGAUCCCGGCCGCAUGAGAUAGUUGGGAAGUUAACGGCUUACGAAGGCAACGAUGCGUAGCCGACCUCAGAGGCUGGUCGGCCACCCUGGAACGGGGACAGGGUCCAUAGUCCUACGGGAGGCAGCAGUCGGGAAUGUGCCGCAAUGGGCGGAAGCCUGACGGAGCAACGGCGCGCGUGUGAUGAAGGUCUUCGGAUCGUAAAACUCUGUUACUAGGGAAGAACAAAUGUGUAAUUAACUAUGCACGUCUUGACGGUACCUAAUCAGAAAGCCCCGGCUAACUACGUG